UACGUAGGGUGCAAGCGUUGUCCGGAAUUAUUGGGCGUAAAGAGCUCGUAGGCGGUUUGUCGCGUCUGCUGUGAAAACUCGGGGCUUAACUCCGGGCCUGCAGUGGGUACGGGCAGACUAGAGUGCGGUAGGGGAGACUGGAAUUCCUGGUGUAGCGGUGAAAUGCGCAGAUAUCAGGAGGAACACCGGUGGCGAAGGCGGCUUCCUGGACCGAUACUGACGCUGAGGAGCGAAAGCCAGGGGAGCAAACGGG
rnacentral:rRNA from 1 species